CCCUGCUCCAGGUGCACCGUGGCCGAGCCCGGGAAGCAGCCUCCCGAUUUGGCCGCCACCGAGUUCUCUGCGGCUCCGCACACACCCGGCCUCGCCGCGAAUCCAUCCAGAGGGUGUUUGCUCUGCACUUGGAUUCCUCAGGAAGCCUCCUUGAGCUCCCGCGGGCGCCGGGCGCACCCUCCUUCCCUCCCGCCCCGGCGCGGGGCGCGGCGCCUGCUCGCGCACUCAGCACCCGGGCUGCGCGGCGGAAACCCCUGGCCCGCCUGCCCGCCUGCCCGCCUGCCCGCAGCACCCUGCCGCGCCUCGGCGUGGGCCUGCGGAGGGGCGGGGGCGGGGAGUGAAAAAUAGCUGCAGUAGUUGUAGCAACUGGACAAACAUUCCAGAGAUUGGCCGAGGUGUGAAAAUCCGAGGCUUGUGUGGAUUUUCUAAUUAAAAUCCAAUAAAGGGCCC
rnacentral:lncRNA from 10 species